rnacentral:rRNA from 1 species
UACGUAGGGUGCAAGCGUUGUCCGGAAUUAUUGGGCGUAAAGAGCUCGUAGGCGGUUUGUCGCGUCUGCUGUGAAAACCCGGGGCUCAACCCGGGCCUGCAUUCGAUACGGGCAGACUAGAGUUCGGUAGGGGAGUCUGGAAUUCCUGGUGUAGCGGUGAAAUGCGCAGAUAUCAGGAGGAACACCGGUGGCGAAGGCGGGACUCUGGGCCGGAUACUGACGCUGAGGAGCGAAAGCGUGGGGAGCAAACAGG